rnacentral:lncRNA from 13 species
UUUUAUGCGACUGGUUGUUUUCAACGUCCUGUGGGUGAGCAGUUGGGCAUUUUUAUGAGUCAAACAUCGAUCAACAGAUGUAUCCACAAAGUGACAGAUGCAAUCAACGAUUUGAUUUUUAGACAGUAGGUACAAUUUCUUAUAACUCCAGCAAGCAGGCAAUCAGCAAGAAUACAAUUUCAAAUGCACGUCAGCCAUUUGAAGGGGCUAUCGGAGCAAUUGUACUCACAUUGCAAUUCUUGCUCCGAAAGAGUAUGGAAAAGCCUACAUUAAUCAUCACGGAUAUCAUUCACUGAAUGUACAAAUGAUAUGUUAUCCGAAUUUAAAAAUAUUAAAUGUGAAUGCAAGAUAUUCCGGAGCACGACACGAUGUAUACAUAUGGAGUGCUUCUGCUGCACGCUGUUAUAGAACGCGCAUAUAAUCGCGGUGAACGACGAGCAUAUCUCAUUGAUGAUUCAGGUUAUUUUUUGAAUGGCUGUUAACUCCUUUGCCUCGAGAACCAGAAGAAACUCCACGUUUCAUGUAUAACGAAGCGUUGUGUAGCGCGAGAAAUUGUGUCGAACGGGUGUCGAACUUCAGUACACGCUUUUUGGUGUAUUGAAGUCUACCUGGAGAUGUUUUUCUUGACACAGGGUUUUGCAGUAUGAGCCUGGUUUCGCAGGAAGGAUUGUCAACGCUUGUGCAGUUUUCCAUAAUAUGCGGACUGCUCAUGGAAUAUUUGACUUGUCAUGAAUAGUCGAUAAAUUUGAUCGUGAUGAUCAUAUGUAUGAAAAUUGUAAUGAUGGUGACAUUAAUCCAGAUAACAGUUGUGGACCUCUUGCUAUUGCACGACGCAUACAAGACCAUUUAAUAGCAGAAAGAUUUGGCAGAUAAGAUUAUACAAAGCG